GACGAACGCUGGCGGCAUGCCUAAUACAUGCAAGUCGAGCGAACAGAUGAAGUGCUUGCACUUCUGACGUUAGCGGCGAACGGGUGAGUAACACGUAAGGAAUCUACCUAUAAGCGGGGGAUAACAUUCGGAAACGGGUGCUAAUACCGCAUAAUAUCUUCUUCCGCAUGGAAGAAGAUUGAAAGACGGCUCUGCUGUCACUUAUAGAUGACCUUGCGGUGCAUUAGUUAGUUGGUGGGGUAACGGCCUACCAAGACGAUGAUGCAUAGCCGACCUGAGAGGGUGAUCGGCCACAUUGGGGCUGAGACACGGCCCAAACUCCUACGGGGGGCAGCAGUAGGGAAUCUUCCGCAAUGAGCGAAAGCCUGACGGAGCAAUGCCGCGUGAGUGAAGAAGGCCUUCGGGUCGUAAAACUCUGUUAUAAGAGAAGAACAAAUUGUAGAGUAACUGUUACAGUCUUGACGGUAUCUUAUCAGAAAGCCACGGCUAACUACGUGCCAGCAGCCGCCGCAG
rnacentral:rRNA from 1 species